UACGUAGGGUCCGAGCGUUGUCCGGAAUUACUGGGCGUAAAGGGCUCGUAGGCGGCCAACUAAGUCAUACGUGAAAUCCCUCGGCUUAACCGGGGAACUGCGUCUGAUACUGGAUGGCUUGAGUUUGGGAGAGGGAUGCGGAAUUCCAGGUGUAGCGGUGAAAUGCGUAGAUAUCUGGAGGAACACCGGUGGCGAAGGCGGGCAUCCUGGGCCACAUCGACGCUG
rnacentral:rRNA from 1 species